CGCUGAAGCCUGGUGCUUGCACCGGGUGGAUGAGUGGCGAACGGGUGAGUAACACGUGAGUAACCUGCCCCUGACUUCGGGAUAAGCCCGGGAAACUGGGUCUAAUACCGGAUACGACUGCCGGACGCAUGUCUGGUGGUGGAAAGUUUUUUCGGUUGGGGAUGGGCUCGCGGCCUAUCAGUUUGUUGGUGAGGUAAUGGCUCACCAAGACGACGACGGGUAGCCGGCCUGAGAGGGCGACCGGCCACACUGGGACUGAGACACGGCCCAGACUCCUACGGGAGGCAGCAGUGGGGAAUAUUGCACAAUGGGGGAAACCCUGAUGCAGCGACGCAGCGUGCGGGAUGACGGCCUUCGGGUUGUAAACCGCUUUCAGCAGGGAAGAAGCGCAAGUGACGGUACCUGCAGAAGAAGUACCGGCUAACUACGUGCCAGCAGCCGCGGUAAUACGUAGGGUACGAGCGUUGUCCGGAAUUAUUGGGCGUAAAGAGCUCGUAGGUGGUUGGUCACGUCUGCUGUGGAAACGCAACGCUUAACGUUGCGCGUGCAGUGGGUACGGGCUGACUAGAGUGCAGUAGGGGAGUCUGGAAUUCCUGGUGUAGCGGUGAAAUGCGCAGAUAUCAGGAGGAACACCGGUGGCGAAGGCGGGACUCUGGGCUGUAACUGACACUGAGGAGCGAAAGCAUGGGGAGCGAACAGGAUUAGAUACCCUGGUAGUCCAUGCCGUAAACGUUGGGCACUAGGUGUGGGGGGGCAUUCCACGUUCUCCGCGCCGUAGCUAACGCAUUAAGUGCCCCGCCUGGGGGAGUACGGUCGCAAGGCUAAAACUCAAAGGAAUUGACGGGGGCCCGCACAAGCGGCGGAGCAUGCGGAUUAAUUCGAUGCAACGCGAAGAACCUUACCAAGGCUUGACAUACACCGGACCGUCCUGGAAACAGGUCCUCUUCUUUGAAGCUGGUGUACAGGUGGGGGCAUGGUUGUCGUCAGCUCGUGUCCUGAAAAUGUUUGGGUUAAGUCCCGCAACGAGCGCAACCCUCGUUCUAUGUUG
rnacentral:rRNA from 1 species